UACGGGGGAUGCGAGCGUUAUCCGGAUUUAUUGGGUUUAAAGGGUGCGCAGGCGGCCUGUUAAGUCAGCGGUAAAAGCCCGGGGCUCAACCCCGUCGAGCCGUUGAAACUGGUUUUCUUGAGUGGGCGAGAGGUAUGCGGAAUGCGUGGUGUAGCGGUGAAAUGCAUAGAUAUCACGCAGAACUCCGAUUGCGAAGGCAGCAUACCGGCGCCCAACUGACGCUGAAGCACGAAAGUGCGGGGAUCGAACAGG
rnacentral:rRNA from 1 species